rnacentral:rRNA from 1 species
GAUGAACGCUAGCGGGAGGCCUAACACAUGCAAGCCGAGCGGGAUUUGUUGGUUAGCUUGCUAACUAACAAUGUGAGCGGCGUACGGGUGCGUAGCACGUGUGCAACCUGCCUUUAUCUGGGGGAUAGCCUUUCGAAAGGAAGAUUAAUACCCCAUAACAUAUUGAUUGGCAUCAGUUAAUAUUGAAAGCUCCGGCGGAUAGAGAUGGGCACGCGUAAGAUUAGCUAGUUGGUGAGGUAACGGCUCACCAAGGCUGCGAUCUUUAGGGGGCCUGAGAGGGUGAUCCCCCACACUGGUACUGAGACACGGACCAGACUCCUACGGGAGGCAGCAGUGAGGAAUAUUGGACAAUGGGUGAGAGCCUGAUCCAGCCAUCCCGCGUGAAGGACUAAGGACCUAUGGUUUGUAAACUUCUUUUAUACAGGGAUAAACCUACUCUCGUGAGGGUAGCUGAAGGUACUGUAUGAAUAAGCACCGGCUAACUCCGUG